rnacentral:lncRNA from 1 species
AUGCUCAUGUUGUAGAUGCAUCCCGUGAGAAGACAUGUAGAGAUGCCUGCUAUUACUCAUAAUGUUAUGUAGCAAGAAUAUUUUGCGACAAGAUGCUCUGGAGACAAGCUAAAUAUAAGAAAAGCUGAUGAAUAAAAUAAAUCUUAUAAGCACAGAGAAGAUACAAAUACUCAGGAUGAGAAGAAUUGAGAGCUAGGCAAAAAGAAAAUAAUACACUAUUUUUCUGGCUUGGGCAACUGAUCUUCCACUUCUGAUUGUGCUAUGCUGUUGUCACAAAGAGCCAUAGUCAUCAGUGAAAAGUAAGGGGGAAAAAGUGUCAUU